rnacentral:rRNA from 1 species
CCGGCACGGGUGAGUAACACGUAUCCAACCUGCCGUCUACUCUUGGACAGCCUUCUGAAAGGAAGAUUAAUACAAGAUGGCAUCAUGAGUCCGCAUGUUCACAUGAUUAAAGGUAUUCCGGUAGACGAUGGGGAUGCGUUCCAUUAGAUAGUAGGCGGGGUAACGGCCCACCUAGUCAACGAUGGAUAGGGGUUCUGAGAGGAAGGUCCCCCACAUUGGAACUGAGACACGGUCCAA